GAUCUCGCAGAGGCUGGUUUAAAAUAUCAUAUAAUCUUAGCUUAUUAUUAUAUUACAACCGUAUUUAUUUCAAUUACUAGAUUAAUAAUUAUUAAUUAUAUUUAUAAUAUCACUAUUAUUAGGAAUAUUUACAAUAAUUUUAGUACACUACGUACAUUUUACAAAUUACACUAUGCAUCUGGAAAGGUAAACUUUAAAACAUUCAUAAAAUUAUAUAGUUCCUUAACUCUCAAAGAUAGUUCACUACACCCUGAAUGAAUAACAGGUUUCACAGAUGGGGAAGGUUCCUUUGGUAUUAAGAUUUAUAAAGCUAAGGGCCACAAACUAGGAUGAAGAUUAGAUCCUUUUUUCCAAAUUAAAUUAAAUGCCCGAGAUCUAGAUAUAUUAUAUCGUAUCAAAGAAUAUUUUGGAGGAGUAGGAACUAUAAGUUUUGAGAAAAAUACGGCUAAGUAUAUUAUUAGAAAACUUAGUGAUAUUGUAGAUAUUUUGAUACCGCAUUUUGAAGCUUAUCCUCUAUUAACUAAAAAAUUUGCGGAUUUCGAAUUAUUUAGGCAAAUUAUUUUAAUUAUAAAAAAUGAAUCUUCUUUAAGUGAACAAGGAUUUAUAAAAAUUCUUAACCUUAGAUAUUAUCUGAAUAAAGGAAUAUCAGAGGAAUUAAAAGAAUUAUAUCCUAACUUAGUACCAGUAAUGAGACCUGAAGUUCCAGAAAGAAAAAUCCAACCGGAAUGAUUAGUAGGAUUCAUAGAUGGGGAAGGUAGUUUUAAUAUAAUUACAGUAGAGAAAAAGUCUUCAGAUGCACCAUCAAUACUUAGCACUAGUUACAAAGUAUGAUUACAUUUUCAAAUAACACAACAUAGUCGAGAUACUACUCUCAUGGAAAGAAUAGUUACAUUUUUUGAUUGUGGUAGUGUUAAAAAAAGAAACACCGAUGCUGUUGACUUUAAGUUAAAUAAAUUCGAGUUGUUAGAAAACAUAAUUAUACCUUUUUUUCAAAAAUAUCCACUUCAAAGUGCUAAAGUUUUUGAUUUCUUAUCUUUUAUUGAAGCUGCCAAUGUGAUUAAAAGUAAAAAAACUCGUCAGUGAACUGCAGAAGAAUUUGCUAAAAUUCAAAAUAUUCAAAGUAAUAUGAAUAAAUACAUCAAAGAAAAUCAAAACAAAAAACAGGAUGAUGAAAGUAAUAAAGGUAAAUAACUACCACGGUAAUGGCCAUAUUUAAUGCAGUAUUUCGUAUGUACUUCGCAGGACUGGCAUUUAAUUACUAAUAAUAGUUACAACUAAACUUUAUUUACUCUCGAGGGCUACCAGCCUACCCUCAGCCACCGUUUUUUAUUCUUUAACCUUCUACUAUACUACGUUAGUGGUAUGUAUGGAGAGCUCUAAAUAAUAAAUUUUUUGGUGACGGCCGAGGUAUCUUAAUUUUUUUGUUAGGUUAUAGAUUUUUGAUUAGCGUUAAGAUAGUAUAAAUAUUGAUUUAGCUGAGGCUAUUUAGUAAACAAUACGAUUCGGUCUCGUAAAAAAUUGCUAUAUGCUGGAAAACCCUCGAUCUAAGAUCGAAGACAAUCAGCAGGAAACCAAAGUAAUUUAUUAAUAUUUUAAUAGUUACGAGUAGGAUCCUCAGAGACUAUACGCAAUAAUUAAGUAAAAAAUAUUGUACUUAAUAAGAUAUAGUCCAACCUUGCAUGUGAAUGUAAGAAGUAUGUAUAGGGAUUAGGUUUACUCAGCUAUAAUAAUAGCAAAACAAAUAAUUACCUUCGUAAACAUUUAAUUAAUGCACGAAGAUACUAUUCUACUUAUUCUGAUUCAUCUCCAGAUCCUAUAUCUACUCCUUUACCUAUAAAAAUUUUUAGUAAUUUAGAUAAUAACGAAGUAGUUAUUUCUUAUGCUGAAAUAUUAAGAAAGAAAGCAGGUAUUUAUUGUUUUAUAAAUACAGUAAAUAAUAAAAGGUAUAUAGGUAGUGCUAAAGAUUUGUAUUUAAGACUUAUUGAACAUCUUGCUGGUAAAAAAUCUAAUAUUGCUUUACAAAAUGCCAUAUUAAAAUAUGGUUUAAAUAAAUUUGAUUUUUGCGUAUAUGAGUACUUUACUUAUCACAGUAAAGUAGUAAGUCAUAAAGCUUUAACUGAUUUAGAAACAAGUUAUAUUGAAAAAUAUCCUUUUGACAGCUUGUAUAAUUUUAUGAGAACAGCUACAAGUAUUGAAGGAUAUAAGCAUACAGAUGAAGCUAAGUUAAAAAUGUUAAAUAGGUUUAAAGAUAAAUCUAAUCACCCUAUGUAUGGUAAGAAACAUACAGAGCAAACCUUAAAAUUGAUUAGUAAACUUGGAGAAUUAAAUCCUAUGUACGGUAAGUUACAUAGUGAAGAAACAAAGAAAAAGAUAAGUAAUAGCAUGAGCAAACAUCCUUACGGAGUAGGUAUAUAUGAUUUAGAUGAUAAUUUAAUUGCAAAAUUUCAAAAUAAUAUUGAAUUAUCCUUUGAGUUACUCAAACAAUAUAUCUAAAGUUACAGUAGGGAAAUAUUUAAAUUCAGGCCUUAUUUACAAAAACCAGUAUAGGUUUAAAGUAAAUAAUAAAUAAUAAGAUCAAGUUUUAAUCUUCUUGUUUAUAUACAUUACAUAUGGAAUCAGAACUUGUUAGU
rnacentral:ncRNA from 11 species